UCCGCGGUAGCUCAAUUGGUAGAGCGUCAUCGCACGCGUAAUGCGAAGACGUGGGUUCGUUCCCCACCUGCGAAA